CACAAACACGGUUGUGUUCGUGCGAACCAGGGGAGGAAGAAAGGGGAGCCAAAAACCCUAACUGCUAGAUAUCAAGAAAUUGAAGCCUAAAUCACAAGAAAAUUCGAUGCAUGGGUCCUCUUUUUCGAAAAUCUAACCCUAACUAAUGAAGUGGAACGUGUCAAGGAGAGCUCAAGCAUAGGAGGAUAACGGGUCAAGAUAAGGCAAGGUGACAAAUACACUUAUUGGAAUACUCAAGGUAAGUGAUUUCUAUAAUCACUUCUUUAGUUGUUUAAGUAAUAUAAUGUUUUAAUUAUUAAGUUCAUAUAAAGUUGAGGUUAAAUCAAUGGAUUAUUUUGAUAAAUGCACGAAUGGGUCGAAUAAUUCAUAGAUGAAUAACAAGCCGAAUACGUAUAAGUUAAGAAAUUCCUUAACUCGGAUGUUGGACUUCAAGAUCACGUGAUAGAAUAUUAUAUUACAAUCAUAUAGGAAGAAACGUGACGCAAAACGGACGAAAAAUGAGAGAGUUGUGUCCGUUUCAGUAAGGAUUAAUGGCUAGGAAAAGUGCAGAGUUGACAUGGCCUGGUGGUGAACUGACACGGCCGGGUGAAGGUUCUGUCAAAAAUAUUAUUUAUGUGAUUUAUGCGCCGUAGGCUUCGGUAUAUUAUCCGUGAACUACGACGGGCUUCCCAAACAUGAUUUCGAGUGUUUCCUUGACGAUUAUAAGUUGUAAACCCAAGUCUAAGCCUCAUGUAAUUUAUACAAGAGUGUGAUAGAUGUAUGUAAUGAAGUUGGACAUGUAUUACAUGUAAAUGUACACAAAAAUACGUAUGGAACACGUAGGUAUGAAUACAUGAUUGUAGGUAUGAUUAAAUGUAUAUUAGGUAUGUAGAUGUGUAUGAUUGUAAGUUUGUAUGUGUGCAAGUAUCUGCGAAUGCAUGAUUUGGAUGCAUUUGAGAAUUAGCGUUACUAAUAAUGCCCUUGGGUUUGAAAUAUAAGUUGAUUGGAUGCAUUUAAAUGGUUAACGUCCUUUUUAUGAAGAUGUAGUAAAUGAAUAUGUUGAGAUUACGGGUUUGGCUAACCAAGUUAUUAUUGAGUAUGUUUGAAAGUGCAGGUUAUGAAUGUCGGACUUUCGAAGUGUUGAUAUAAUAAUGAAACGGUUGAAUGUUGAAAGGAUAAUCGGAUUGAAGUAACUUAUGCGGUUAGAAUAUGCUAUGGACGUUUUAGUUUAUACAAUAUUAUAUGUUUGGUCGUCACCAUCUACUAACAGGUUAGUUGUAUGAGAGUAUAUGUCAUACCCAUUUAAUUGGAUAAUCGAAUGCGUAAGAGAAAUGAAAGUACGCACACGAAUGGAACUAAAAUGACGGUUUUAUAAGCAAACAAGUAUAAUGACUAACUUUUUAAAGCUUUGUUGUUGAAUGUAGGUAAUUCCUCAAUUUUGGCGACUUGGAGAAUCGGAGCGAGCGCGUGUUCGUGUUAUGCGAUACCAAACGCUUCCGCUAGCUUGUUCAAAUGUUUUUGAUCCAAAAUUUGUUGUAUUGGUAUUUAGUAGUAUCUUGUUGAACGAAUUGUAGAAUUGUAUCUAGUUUGUUUAUGUUUUAAACAGGGGUAUGCUCGUUUUAUGGACGGGUCAUGCCCGAUUUUUUUGU
rnacentral:lncRNA from 1 species